UCGCCUGUUUUUACAAAAACAUCGCCUCUUGAUUAAACAUAAGAGGUCCAGCCUGCCCAGUGACAUAGUUUAACGGCCGCGGUACCCUAACCGUGCGAAGGUAGCAUAAUCACUUGUUCUUUAAAUAGGGACUCGUAUCAACGGCAUCACGAGGGCUAUACUGUCUCCUUUCUCCAAUCAAUGAAACUGAUCUCCCCGUGAAGAAGCGGGGAUUAACCUAUAAGACGAGAAGACCCCAUGGAGCUUCAAACUCAACAUAUACCUCUACGCACUUAAACCACUUUAGCCCAAGAGACCUCUAUGUUAGUUUUGGGUUGGGGGGACCGCGGAGUAAAAAUUAACCUCCACGACAAACGGGCUUUAUGCCCUUAUCCACGAACUACAACUCUAAGAAUCAAUAAACUGAUGUUUAUGACCCGAUUAUUCGAUCAACGAACCAAGUUACCCUGGGGAUAACAGCGCAAUCUACUUCAAGAGCCCCUAUCGACAAGUAGGUUUACGACCUCGAUGUUGGAUCAGGGUAUCCUAGUGGUGCAGCCGCUACUAAUGGUUCGUUUGUUCAACGAUUAAAACCCUACGUGAUCUGAUUCCCAGAACCGGA
rnacentral:rRNA from 1 species